rnacentral:rRNA from 1 species
UGGGGAAUAUUGGACAAUGGGGGCAACCCUGAUCCAGCAAUGCCGCGUGUGUGAAGAAGGCCUUCGGGUUGUAAAGCACUUUAGGUUGGGAAGAAGUUUGGUGGAUGAUAAGUCCGUCAAAUUGACGGUACCGACAGAAUAAGCACCGGCUAACUCUGUGCCAGCAGCCGCGGUAAUACAGAGGGUGCGAGCGUUAAUCGGAGUUACUGGGCGUAAAGGGCGCGUAGGUUGUAUUGUAAGUUAGUUGUGAAAGCCCUGGGCUUAACCUGGGAAUUGCAACUAAGACUGUGAUACUAGAGUACUGUAGAGGGUAGUGGAAUUUCCGGUGUAGCGGUGAAAUGCGUAGAGAUCGGAAGGAACACCAGUGGCGAAGGCGGCUACCUGGACAGAUACUGACACUGAGGCGCGAGAGCGUGGGGAGCAAACAG